rnacentral:rRNA from 1 species
GAUGAACGCUGGCGGCGUGCCUAAUACAUGCAAGUCGAGCGAACAGACGAGGAGCUUGCUCCGCUGACGUUAGCGGCGGACGGGUGAGUAACACGUGUAUAACCUACCUAUAAGACUGGGAUAACUUCGAGAAACCGGAUCUAAUACCGGAUAAUAUAUUGAACCGCAUGGUUCAAUAGUGAAAGACGGUUUUGCUGUCACUUAUAGAUGGAUCCGCGCCGCAUUAUCUAGUUGGUAAGGUAACAGCUUACCAAGGCAACGAUGCGUAGCCGACGGGAGAGGGGGAUCGCCCCCACUGGAGCUGAGACGCGGUAUAGAGUCCUACGGGCGGCAGAGGUAGGGAAUCUUGCGAAAUGGCGAAAGCAUGACGGAGUAACGCCGCGUGAGUGAUGACGGUCUUCGGAUCGUAAAACUCUGUUAUUAGGGAAGAACAAAUGUGUAAGUAACUAUGCACGUCUUGACGGUAACUAAUCAGAAAGCCACGGCUAACUACGUG